CGAAAGGACAUAUGAUGUUUCUGUUUUGAGAAGAUCAUUGAUUGUGACUUGACAAACUAUAAGGAUUUCGUUGAAUCAAUUGUAGAGAAGUACUCUCCGUGUUAUUUGGAAGUUGCACAUGUGCAGUACUAUGAUGAUGCUCUAAAAAUCUGUCCAGAAGUAAAAUGUGACCAAGAUUUAUUGCUUAUGUUUGAGAAACACUCGGAGACAAAGGUGAUGCGUAUGAUCAUUGCAUAUUGUGAUCCGUCUGAACCGUAUGAGCCUAUCACCGAGUGGCAUAGUGAUGCGCAUAGCCAACCUAAUAACAAUGUAGAAUAAAAGGAUGAUACUUACCUUCGCAAACCAAGACCUGAGAAUGAGCAUGUUGGUGUUGAUGAGGAGAAUAUGUAUGAACUAGAUGAACCUAUGCCCUUAAAUGUGGUUCUUUGUCCUGAUAAAGAAAAGGACAAAGACUAUAUUUGUGAGGAUGAUAGCGAGGCUGAGAGUGAAGUAGAGGAGGAUGAGGAGUUGCAUGAGGCAGAGCAUACUCCACAUGUAGAGUAUGACAAAUUAGACCCUCCAAUGACAAAAGGCUUUACAUAUCCCAGCAUGAAAGAGUUCAAGUUGGCACUUAUUCAACAUGCAAUCAAAUGUGAAUUUGAGUAUAAUACCGAGUAUAGUACACAUCAUCGAUUUAGGGGCUAUUGUUCAAGACGGGAUGCAGAUAAUUGUCCCUGGAGGAUACAUGCUUCUACGAUGGAAGAUAAGUGUACUAUGAUGGUAAUUGUUUAA
rnacentral:rRNA from 1 species